rnacentral:rRNA from 1 species
UACGUAGGGUGCGAGCGUUGUCCGGAAUUAUUGGGCGUAAAGAGCUUGUAGGCGGUUUGUCGCGUCUGCUGUGAAAACCCGAGGCUCAACCUCGGGCCUGCAGUGGGUACGGGCAGACUAGAGUGCGGUAGGGGAGAUUGGAAUUCCUGGUGUAGCGGUGGAAUGCGCAGAUAUCAGGAGGAACACCAAUGGCGAAGGCAGAUCUCUGGGCCGUAACUGACGCUGAGGAGCGAAAGCAUGGGGAGCGAACAGG